ensembl:lncRNA
AUGAGAUGGAACCACGUAACAUCUAGUUACAUGAAUAGAUACAUCAGUUAUACUGGUGGUGGUGGUGGGAUUACAUCUAGUUACAUGAAUAGAUACAUCAGUUAUACUGGUGGUGGGAUUACAUCUAGUUACAUGAAUAGAUACAUCAGCUAUACUGGUGGUGGGAUUACAUCUAGUUACAUGAAUAGGUACAUCAAUUAGGCUGCUGGUGAUGGGACUUUGUAUCUGCUAAAUUGAGGUGUUGUUGUCAGUAAUUGAAGGGUUUUGACCUGCCUUGACAGGGCAUGGGAUUAGGUUACUCAUAGGGUGCUGUGGAGAAACUCUUUGAAAAGGGCAUUAUACUAUGGCUGGAAUGCUGCUUGCCUAGAUCCAACCACUGAAGUUUAAACACUCGGCAUCUGAGAAUGCAAAUCCACCACAAGACUCCUGUCUCUGUCUGGCCCAUUGUAACAAGACUCCUGUCUCUGUCUGGCCCAUUGUAACAAGACUCCUGUCUCUGUCUGGCCCAUUGUAACAAGACUCCUGUCUCUGUCUGGCCCAUUGUAACAAGACUCCUGUCUCUGUCUGGCCCAUUGUAACAAGACUCCUUUCUCUGUCUGGCCCAUUGUAACAAGACUCCUUUCUCUGUCUGGCCCAUUGUAACAAGACUCCUGUCUCUGUCUGGCCAGCGGUAGGUAAUAUUUCUCUGUCUGGCCAGCGGUAGGUAAUAUCUCUGUCUGGCCAGCGGUAGGUAAUAUGUUCACUAACUUUCUCACUGACGUCUGUUCAUGUUCAUAUUUGCAUGUGCAUUGAGCACUGUACUCAAACCUAAAAUAAAAUCCCUAUUCUGUACAUUAGCAACCUGUUAAUAUGCUAAGUGUUGCUUUGUGCAAUGUGAUGCAUUAAACUAAAGUCAAGUGGGCUUUUCAACCUCCUCUAUCCGCUCCUGUGAUGAAAAAUAACUAUUUUACUUUCCCUCUGAAAAUGCCUCUCAAAGAAUCACUAAGUCGCCCCAUAAUGCCUCUGCUGCCAGGCCUAUAUGGCCUAACCAAUAACCAGCCAACAUUCACAAUGGAUUAUUUUAAACACUAAACACAAGUUCUGCGUCCCACAUGUCAGUCUAUAUAAUUCACUAAUGCCUGUGAGUGGCUUGUUCAUUUGGAUUGGGGGGUGCCCUCUGCACUCUCUGGUCCGCAGCGCUACCUAGCUACGAAGCCCAUUCCUGCCUCACAGUUUCCAGUAGUAGGUUUAUAUCAUUACAAUCCACAGCUACAACAACUAAAUGUUAUUUUAAAUUAGUCCCAAAUGGCACCCUACUCACUGUAUAUAGUGCCUUUAUAAAGGGAAUAGAGUGCCGUUUGGGACUCAGACUAAGGCUGACCCCUGGCGACCCCGGAGAGCUCCCAAGCAUGCAAAUGGGGUGAGUCAGAGAUUGGCGGCAGCGCGACGAGCCUCUGCAGAGCGGAGUGAGUGGGAGAAGAGCGAGAAAGAGAGUGGGAGAAGAGAGAGCUGCUAGCGUGGUAUUGGUGCAGCAGCAGCAGGCAGGAAUCCACAUCAGUCAGUCAGAGUCCACACCCUGGUCUUUCUGUAAUGACAAGUUUCUCUGGCGGUGCGGGGGAGAGACUCUACAUGGCCUUUAGUCAUCAUAACUAGCCUACAGUGUACACACACACUCUCCUGAGCGGCGGUGUAGUUUCUCCUGCACGGCGGUGUAGUUUCUCCUGCCCGGCGCUGUAGUUUCUCCUGCCCGGCGCUGUAGUUUCUCCUGCCCGGCGCUGUAGUUUCUCCUGCCCGGCGGUGUAGUUUCUCCUGCCCGGCGGUGUAGUUUCUCCUGCGUGGCGGUGUAGUUUCUCCUGCGCGGCGGUGUAGUUUGUUUUUCCUGCGCGGCGGUGUAGUUUCUCCUGCGCGGCGGUGUAGUUUCUCCUGCGCGGCGGUGUAGUUUGUUUCUCCUGCCCGGCGGUGUAGUUUCUCCUGCCCGGCGCUGUAGUUUCUCCUGCGCGGCGGUGUAGUUUCUCCUGCGUUUCUUAUUUUUCAUAUUAGUCUACUUUACUGCAUCUACUUGCCUUCAGCUCCUCUAAGAUAACCAUGGCCCCAUGUCAAUUCCCAGCUAAGUUGACUCAGUUGACUGGGGAGUUGUGCAGAGCUGAAGGGGAGCCUGGGGAAAUCAAGUAGGAGGGCUACGCCUCAGAGCUAUUAGUCAACUAAUUACACACACAGAGAUUACCUCUGACCGCUCCCUCCAUAGGAGUUCUUAACACCAGUUAAACUAGUAGUACACAGCUGUGGCUGAUCAACUAUAGUGUAGAGAGUCAGAGAGGAGAGAGUUGUUCAGUAGGUGAACACGGUCAGAGAGGAGAGAGUUGUUCAGUAGGUGAACACGGUCAGAGAGGAGAGAGUUGUUCAGUAGGUGAACACGGUCAGAGAGGAGAGAGUUGUUCAGUAGGUGAACACGGUCAGAGAGGAGAGAGUUGUUCAGUAGGUGAACACGGUCAGAGAGGAGAGAGUUGUUCAGUAGGUGAACACGGUCAGAGAGG